GAUGAAGAACGUAGCGAAAUGCGAUAAGUAGUGUGAAUUGCAGAAUUCAGUGAAUCAUCGAAUCUUUGAACGCACAUUGCGCCCGCCAAUAUUCUGGCGGGCAUGCCUGUUCGAGCGUCAUUACAACCCUCAGGCCCCCGGGCCUGGCGUUGGGGAUCGGCGGAAGCCCCCUGCGGGCACAACGCCGUCCCCCAAAUACAGUGGCGGUCCCGCCGCAGCUUCCAUUGCGUAGUAGCUAACACCUCGCAACUGGAGAGCGGCGCGGCCACGCCGUAAAACACCCAACUUCUGAAUGUUGACCUCGAAUCAGGUAGGAAUACCCGCUGAACUUAAGCAUAUCAAUAAGCGGAGGA
rnacentral:misc_RNA from 1 species